rnacentral:piRNA from 1 species
UGGGGGUCAGGUGGGUAAUGAUCCCAGG